UACGUAGGGUGCGAGCGUUGUCCGAAAUUACUGGGCGUAAAGAGCUCGUAGGUGGUUUGUCGCGUUGUUCGUGAAAACUCACAACUCAAUUGUGGGCGUGCGGGCGAUACGGGCAGACUGGAGUACUGCAGGGGAGACUGGAAUUCCUGGUGUAGCGGUGGAAUGCGCAGAUAUCAGGAGGAACACCGGUGGCGAAGGCGGGUCUCUGGGCAGUAACUGACGCUGAGGAGCGAAAGCGUGGGGAGCGAACAGG
rnacentral:rRNA from 1 species